rnacentral:rRNA from 1 species
CCUACGGGGUGCUGCAGUGGGGAAUAUUGGACAAUGGGCGAAAGCCUGAUCCAGCCAUGCCGCGUGUGUGAAGAAGGCCUUCGGGUUGUAAAGCACUUUCAGUGGGGAAGAAAGCCUCGGGGCUAAUACCCUCGAGGAAGGACAUCACCCACAGAAGAAGCACCGGCUAACUCCGUGCCAGCAGCCGCGGUAAUACGGAGGGUGCGAGCGUUAAUCGGAAUUACUGGGCGUAAAGCGCGCGUAGGCGGUCUGAUAAGCCGGUUGUGAAAGCCCCGGGCUCAACCUGGGAACGGCAUCCGGAACUGUCAGGCUAGAGGGCCGGAGAGGAAGGUAGAAUUCCCGGUGUAGCGGUGAAAGGCGGAGAGAUCGGGAGGAAUACCAGUGGCGAAGGCGGCCUUCUGGACUGACACUGACGCUGAGGUGCGAAAGCGUGGGUAGCAAACAGGAUUAGAUACCCGAGUAGUC